GAUGUCGAGGGGGAUGUAGAACACGAUGCUGUAAAUCCAGAUCACUCCGGCCCAUCCCCAGCCGCAACCUUUGAUCUUCGCAAAAGGCCAGGUCGCGUACACGGCUAGAAAAGUCGCAAUCUGGAACAUAUAAUCGAGAGCCGAGUGAGUACAAUGCAGCCAUCAUUUCCUCCUCACUCUGACCGAUGUUGCGAACUCCAAACGUUCUCUACAUUUUCAGUAUAGUCGGAUUACUCAGAGUUCCUUCGAAGAAACAAUCGGAAGGAUACAGUUUAUUAUAGGAUUCUUACAGAGAAAAAGUCGGUUUUGUGCAUUAACCAGAAGAAGAUGACGCUCAUCACCGCAAGAUAGCCUCCGAGAACUAUUCCAGUGGCGAAAAUCUCCUUCAGCUUCCAACUAUCCGGCAUUGGAGACGGCUUCACUCUAUCCUUGGAGAUCGUCAUAAUCGUACCUGUAUAUAUAUCAAGAGUUAUCGAUCAAUUCAUUGCAGUUCCAAGACAUUGGAUAAACAGAGGCUUGGUUUUAUACCGUCGUUCAGAAUGGCGAUGAUCAGGACCAUGAAUGGCGAGAAAUCGAACUUCCAGAUCAAGGCGAUGAACAUGAAACCAAACUGCAGAAAAGAAUGGCAUGUAACACGAUGUAAGUAAGAAGCCAACGGGGAAAAAAAAUUGUGCGUCGUCGUCGAAUGGCGCUGUGUAACUUACCACAAUACGGAUGGUGAUCGAGACGGCGUAUAUCUGCGAAAGCGAAAGAUGAAGAGGCUUAAUGCAGGUUCGAAAAGAGUAAGAAUUCGGACGAUGUUUAGGACGAGACACGAACCGUGUAGUUCUUCAUUCUCUGGAAGAUCGCUCUGCUCGUCAACACGGCGCUGAUGAUAACGCUCAAACCGGGUUCGGUUAAGACGAUGUCGGAAGCGCUUCUCGCAGCAUCUGUAGCAUCAUCGACGGCAAUGCCGAUGUCGGCCUUCUUCAGCGCAGGAGCAUCGUUGACACCGUCUCCCGUCAUGCCGACGAUAUGCUUCCGUUCUUGCAGCUUCUUCACGAUCUCGUAUUUGUGCUCUGCGUUCACGAAAAAGGAAAAUGAUGAAUCCUCGAAGGUUACGGCGGGAUAAAAGAGCGCGACAAAAUGCAGAACCUGGAAAGACCCCGGCAAAGCCGUCUGCCUUCUCUAUCAGUUCCUCCACCGGGAGGCCAGCUAUUGACUCGUCCUUGUGUUGGCCGAGCAAAGAAGCCGACGGGUACAUGUUUACUCCCAUUCCAAGCCUACGUCCGGUCUCCUUCGCAAUCGCAAGCUGAUCGCCUGAAAUUUCGGUAACAAGAAAACGGUAUGUGAAGUACAGAUCGAACUCAGAAGCAUUGACGCUGUUCAAGAUCGCAUACCGGUAAUCAUUUUGACAUUUACACCGAGAUUUAGAGCUCUGCGGAUGGUUUCCGCGCUGUCAUGUCUCGGAGGAUCGAAGAGCGAUAAAAGCCCGAGAAAUUGCCAUGGACCGCCGGGCGAGUCCUUCGAUUUCUCCGGCACUUGCUGUUGUAUAUAGAGCAUCGGGUAAGAGAUCAUCUCGAAGGAUAAUAUACUGCGGUGUAUCGUAUCUCACCUGUCUUGCAACGGCCAAGGAUCGUAGACCACGCUCGGCAAACUUGUCGAUGACGCCGUGAACCUUCUUUUUCAUGUCCUCCUUGCAGUUGCAGAGAGUCAAGAUCUGGUACGAAGAAAGAAGGCGAUUUUAGUAUGCGAAAAAUGACAGAUUCUGAUUAUGAAGAAACGACGACAAGAAAAUCGACCUGCUCGGGUGCUCCUUUGCUAGCUCGUUCCCAGUUCCCUUUACCGUCGAUGUAAGUCAAGGCCGUCCUCUUGUCGACAGGGUUGAACGGAAAAAAAUGAACCUCGCGAAUGCCGGCCCUCGCCUGAAAAUUUCGAAUCAUUAGUUUCCCGAUUCAAUCGGAUCCUUUUAUUACAAACGAAGAACAGAAGAUACCUCUUUUGGAUCAGCGAGGGUGUUAACGAUGGCGCCGUCAAUAGCAUCUUGAUUCUCGGUUCUAGAAGCUCUCGCUGCAUAGAGCAGAACUUCAUCCGGCGUAACGCCCUUGGUGAAAACCUCGAUCAAGUUCUUGUCGACGGUAAGUUUGUUGAGAGUCAACGUCCCCGUCUUGUCGCUACACAGAACGUCCAUCCCGGCCAUUUCUUCGAUCGCAGUCAUUCGCUUAGUAAUGGCACCCUGCUGCGACAGCCGGUGCGAUCCGAUCGCCAUAGUGACAGACAGCACGGUGGGCAUCGCGAUCGGGAUUCCGCCGAUGAGGAGGACGAGGAGAUUGUCAAUCCCGCUCCGGUACUGCCGGUGCUGGAUCGGGUACAUCACGACGAUCUCGAUCAACAUCCCGAUGGCAAUCGAGCAAAUGCAGAAGUUCCCGAUCGCUGUCAGAACCUUCUGGAAGUGACCCACCUGGUUCGUGCUGUCGACGAGAUGCG